UACGUAGGGUGCGAGCGUUAAUCGGAAUUACUGGGCGUAAAGCGUGCGCAGGCGGUUUUGUAAGACAGAUGUGAAAUCCCCGGGCUUAACCGUGGAACUGCUUGGUAUACUGGUUGUCUUGGGCCAUCUAGGGGCUACCGGAACAAACGGUGGAGCGGUGAAAUGCGUAGAUAUCGUAAGGAAGACCAGUGGCGAAGGCGGGUCUCUGGACAGUUCCUGACGCUGAGGCACGAAGGUCAGGGGAGCAAACGGG
rnacentral:rRNA from 1 species